AUUGGCUUUUUCAAUCAUGAUUGUCCUCUGAAGUUUGCUACACACAAUUUCAAAACCUUGGCGCGAUUACGUCCCUAUUACUUAAGCCUGGUCUCCAUAUGGUCGUAAAUCGUAAAGGUCGUAAAAAUAUAGACGGUCACGAUCUUUCUCAGCGCCCAGUUUAUAAUAGUUUAUAUACCUGUAAACCACAUAUAAGUCAUAAGUAUUCUCCAGUUAUAAUCACUCCGCGUAUGUUCAGUUCUAAAAUAUUGUAAUUCGACUGAUGAGAAAGAUCGUGACUCAAUCUUUACGACCGUUACGAUCAUAUGGAAGCCAGGAUUUACUGUAGAUCGUAGCAUGUUACAGUGUUACAACGCUGUAACAAGUUGUAACGAGCUUGUUGUCAAACCGAUAUCGGGAUGUGUUCGCACUGCUUGUUCCCAGUUGUUGUGACAAAUCUGUAACAAGUUGUUAUAUCACCUUGUUUACAAGGUUGAUGACGGUAACAGACUUGCUACAAGUUGUUCCAACAAGACUAAUACAGGCUGUUCGUAUCGAGUUGCUACGAGCUUGUUGUCAUCAACUUGUUCACAACUUGUUACGUGCAGAUAUCAGACAACUUCGUUGCGAGUCUGUUGGCCUCAUCAACCUUGUUACAAAUUGGUAACAACUUGUUUCGGACUUCCAACAACUGGGAAGAAGUAGUUGACAAGCUGUGGCAUUUUUACGCGCGGAGCAGUCGUCUGCUAUACGCGUAGACGUGACGUUGAGGUUUUGUGGUUUCAGAAGAAAAGAUAAAUCAUAAUUGAUUUAGCUGCCGUGUAUAUUUACGGUAAAUCGUCAAACAGUUGGUUCUCGAAUCCGAGACUAAAAUCAACCAAAUGGUUUUUAAAUUCCCCAGAACGAUUUUGUAAUCGAAUUACUUUAACAUAAUUGAAUUCCACAAUGACCGAAACAUAUGUCGUUCAGUCACUUGAAACGGGCAUUAAAUAAGCGUAUUUUGACACACUUGUAAAUUGAAAUGUGUGUUUCUGACAAGACCGGGUAAAAACGUUUUGAUAUACUGUGUACACAAUUGACACAAUUGACAUAUCAUCUCGCGAUUCAAUCUUUGUGAGCUCAAUCAUUAGAAAUGUAGAAGGAAAAUCCAUUUAUACAUUUCUCUGGUGUUUGUACCGUUCGAGUUUAUAAAUCGAGUAUUAUCCUUUAUUGUUGACAAACUGUCUAAUGUUUUACGCAAGAGCAGUCGAAAUCGGAUAAAAUCGCCAUGCCAGAGAGUUUGGAUUCCAGAAUAUUCUAUGGCAUUAUAAGGCCAUGCUUUUUUUGUUGGAUUACGGAUUUUGCUCGCAAAUAUUAAAGGGCGGGAGGGCAAAAAAUACUGAAAGAAAAAAGAAAGAAUUGUCUAAUAUCUAUAAUACCACACGUACAGUGACAUGUACAUCCAAAGUCAACGAGUACAGCGAAGUAAAUAUCUCCUCGUUCGGCCAUGUUUCACGUUCACGUGCAUGGCGUGAUCACGUGACAAUUGCGUGUUGAAAGUUUAGCCUGCACAGGCAGCCUGACAUUAUUCUCGCACAUUUUAUAUUUUUGGGUGUCUUGCUGGGAAAAUAAAUACCAAUACAGGCAAUACUUUCUAAAAUAUGGUUGGAUGAAAAGAAAACUACCCAUCAAAACUGAUAAGCGGCGUUUAUAUUUUUUUCUGCUUUUUAAAAAUACAAGGUGGGAAAACCGCAAUCCAACAAAAAAAAGCGUGGCCUAAUGACAGUCUUUACUUGUCCCACUCCCCCGAAAUUACUGAACUUCCCAUACGCUGCUGUUUAAAAUGGCUGCCCCAAACAAAAGGGACUAGAAAUGUUAACUGAAGUCUAUCGAGAGUUUUGUGUCCUUGUAAAAAUCCUUAUUUUAAUGCCUGAUUUGAAAAUAGUACGUAUAUAUACUAAAGUGUCCAUUGAUAGUGGAAUAAAAUAAAUAACACAACUGUAGUCUGUACUAAGCAACUAUAACUAUAAGUCUGAUGCACAAAAGAAAAUAUUGUCUGUUGUACGUUUCUCUGAAAUCGAAACACUUUACUCUUAUAAUUUGAUUAAAUAUUUUCUUUUUUCCGUUCGC